CCAGCAGCCGCGGUAAUUCCAGCUCCAGAAGCGUAUGCUAAAGUUGUUGCAGUUAAAAAGCUCGUAGUUGAAUUUCUGGCCGUGCUGACCGGGCCUCUGGAUGAAUGUCCUUUGUUGCCCGCGUCGGCGUCGCCAUCCUUCCCCUCUUUUUGGGGGGAUCGUUUACUGUAAACAAAAUAGAGUGUUCAAAGCAGGUCGUAGGACCGGGAUAUUCGUUAUGGGAUAAUUAGAUAGGACUUGUGUGCUAUUUUGUUGGUUUGCACACGCGAGUAAUGAUUAAUAGGAGCAGUUGGGGAUAUUCGUAUUUAGCAGCUAGAGGUGAAAUUCUUGGAUUUGCGAAAGAC
rnacentral:rRNA from 1 species